rnacentral:lncRNA from 1 species
UCAAUAACUCCAAUCUUGUCCUUAAUUAAAAAAAAAUGUGAUUACUUGAACGAAUCAAUUUGUUGCUGAUGAGAAGCAGAAGCCAUGAUUAUUACAUGCUCGUUGUCAAACGCAACAGAGCCGGUUAUCACAUCAUCGUCGUAUGUGAUGCAGAUCGUUAGCCUCAUGCCACUGAUCAUUGUCGGUUGCAUACAGUACCUGUUAAUUGUCGCUACCACUCUCCGAACUUCGCUGCCGCUUGCCG